UACGUAGGGUGCGAGCGUUAAUCGGAAUUACUGGGCGUAAAGCGUGCGCAGGCGGUUUUGUAAGCCAGAUGUGAAAGCCCCGGGCUUAACCUGGGAAUGGCAUUUGGGACUGCAAGGCUAGAGUGCGGCAGAGGAGACUGGAAUUCCUGGUGUAGCAGUGAAAUGCGUAGAUAUCAGGAGGAAUACCGAUGGCGAAGGCAGGUCUCUGGGCUGACACUGACGCUCAUGCACGAAAGCGUGGGGAGCAAACAGG
rnacentral:rRNA from 1 species